rnacentral:rRNA from 1 species
UACGGAGGAUGCAAGCGUUAUCCGGAAUUAUUGGGCGUAAAGCGUCCGUAGGUGGUUGAACAAGUCUGCGGUUAAAGCGUGGAGCUUAACUCCAUAAGGGCCGUGGAAACUGUGCGACUAGAGUGCGAUAGGGGUAGAGGGAAUUCCCAGUGUAGCGGUGAAAUGCGUAGAUAUUGGGAAGAACACCGGUGGCGAAAGCGCUCUACUGGGUCUGCACUGACACUGAGGGACGAAAGCUAGGGGAGCGAAAGGG